UGGUUCUUUGAUUAGUCAGAUGUGUUAUAUUGUUCUUUUCCAGCUGCUGGAGGACAACAUCAGGACUUUUGUGAAGAAGGAACUGCAAAAAAUCCAGAAGGUUUUGAGUUUAGAUUACCCAGAAUUUUCAAUGAGUCCGGUGGAGAGUGAGGAGGGGCUGGAGGAUGAAGAUGAAGAGCAGAGGAGGAGCAGCAGAGAGGCAUUUGAGAAGAUCACAUUGUGUUUCCUAAGAAGGAUGAAACAAGACAACAUGGCUGACUGUCUGCAAAGCAGUAAGAUAUUAAUUUAGCUAGAUCAGUGAUGCAUUUACCCAGUGAAUGAAAAUAUUGUUCCGUUACUGAAGUGCUUUUCUUUUAGGAAAAACAUAUUGUUUCAAAAUCUUGUUUUUGUCCUUGUUAAGAACUUUUUGCUGCACUUUGUCAUCGUGAACUUAAAUCUGGUCUGAAGAAGAGGUACCAGUCUAUGUUUGAGGGGAUUGCUAAAGCAGGACGUCCAACCCUUCUGAACCAGAUCUACACGGAGCUCUACAUCACAGAGGGAGGGACUGGAGAGGUCAACCGAGAACAUGAGGUCAGACAGAUUGAAACAGCUUCCAGGUCACCGGAUAGGGCAUAAACAACAAUCAGACAUCUUUAAACUCUCACCUGGAAGAGAUCAACCAAUCAGAACAGUGAUGACAAAGGGUGUGGCUGGCAUUGGGAAAACAGUCUUAACAAAGAGGUUUACCCUGGACUGGGCUGAAGGCAAAGCCCACCAGAACAUCCAGGUCAUAUUUCCAUUCACCUUCAGAGAGCUGAAUGUGCUGAAAGAGAAGAAGUUCAGCUUGGUGGAACUUGUUCAUCACUUCUUUAAUGAAACAAAAGGAAUUCGCAAUUUUGAACACUUCCAGGUUCUGUUCAUUUUUGAUGGUCUGGAUGAGAGUCGACUUCCUCUGGACUUCCACCACAAGGAGAUCCUGACUGAUGUUACAGAGUCCACCUCAGUGGAUGUUCUGCUGACAAACCUCAUCAGGGGGAAACUGCUUCCCUCUGCUCGCCUCUGGAUAACCACACGACCUGCAGCAGCCAAUCAGAUCCCUCCUAAGUGUGUUGGCAUGGUGACAGAGGUCAGAGGGUUCACUGACACGCAGAAGGAGGAGUACUUCAGGAAGAGAUUCAGAGAUAAGAAGCAGGAUCAUCUCCCACAUCAAGACAUCAUGAAGUCUCCACAUCAUGUGCCACAUCCCAGUCUUCUGUUGGAUCACUGCUAUGGUUCUUAAGAUUUAUUGAAAUCAAAAACUGGAAAAGAACUGCCUAAGACCCUGAUUGAGAUGUACAUCUAUUUUACAGAAGUUCAAGCUAAAGUGAAGAAGGUCAAGUAUGAUGGAGGACCUGAGACAGAUCCACACUGGAGUCCAGAGAGCAGGAAGAUGAUUGAGGGUUUAUUCCCACAAGGAAAGUCCUUUAGUCCGCUUGUUUGGUCCGAACCAAAAGCGGACUUUAUUUUUUUCAUUUGGCGUGGUUUGUUUUCACAUUGUACUUUUUGCAAGUGAACUACUACUUGUAAACAAAGCCACGCGGGUGAAGAUCAUUGCUCCCAUUGGUCAGAAAUGACGGGGGCGGGACAUAUCGCAGACCCGGAAAUGUAGAACAGCGUCAGAGAAAGCAUGAACCCUGUCCCACAACAUGCCAGAUGCGUUGCUUAGCAACAUACAGCUGAUCAGCUGGAGCCAAACACUGUUGAGCUGGAGGUCACCUGUGCUGAAAGCCAGCAGAUAACCAAACCCCAGCAUGAUUUCAAUGUGUGAGAACAUCAUAGAAGAAGAGGAAGGGAGGAAAUAAAGCUCCGACAGCAAGGGAUCAAUGUCUGUGGUGACGUUAACUUCAGGCCAACCGUGAGAAUAAGAAGAUAAAAGUCCAAAAAAAGACAGUAGAUGUAAUUCAACCAACAGCUCAGUGUGAUAGACUACAGUAUUAAGAACAUCUAGUGUCCUAGUUCAAGUCCUCAACUGACCAAUAUCCUUUUAUUAAUUAAUCUUUAGCAUAAAUUAUGUUGAGAUAGUUUAUAAAUCUUUAGACAUUUUUUUCUAACUUUAUCAAUGGAUUCAACUUGACAUCAGUUAGUAAAGUUGAAAGAAAAUUCACAUUAGCUGACGAACCACCUGCAGUCAGCUCCAUCCAUCAGGUUGAGACAAUAGGUCAGAGGUCAUGACUGAAAGGCUUUAGGAGACGACAGCAUAGUGUCUGGUUGGAUAGCUCAAGGUGUUUGUUUAGAGCUCAGCAACAUGGAGGUCAUGAGAUCAAGACUGAGAUGUUCCUUGUUUUAAGAAGAAUAAAACUGAAUAAUUUGAGAGAAAUUUGAACAACAUUUCAAAGAAUUUAACCAGAGGGAGUCAAUAAGUCAACAUGAUGGACUGUAGGAAGGAGAUUCAAGAAAGACUGGCUUCAACUUCUCAUCAGGAGCUUAUUUGUUGUGAAGAACCUGAGAGGUUAUAUUUUGAGGAGUUCAGGGUUCAAACUGAAAAGUUGAAAAGCACCAAGAGAAGAGAGCUAAGAAGGGAGUGGACCCGAUGGUGUGGAGGAACUGUCUGUGACCAGAAGAUGCCAGUGGUGGAGUUCCUGGGUUCAAGUCCUGCCUGAGACGACCUGGAGAGAAGAUCUAGACCUGCUGCAGAGAGUGGGUGAGGGGGCCGUGUCCCCUCCCCGGAUAAUCAAGAGACCAGCUCAGGUGAAAGGUCAGACUGUCAAACAGGAAGUGAAAGCUUCCACUUCCUUUUAUAGGGCGGAGCCAAGCAGACUCCACUAACAGGGCUGGAUAUCUUUACUGUCCACAGAUCACAUCUCCAGAGUCUGUCUGUCCAUCUGAUCCAUGAAUAAACUGAAGCUGACAUCUGGUGACACCAGAAAUCACAGCUUUGUCAUCAGGAUGGAUGAGAUUUUGCAAUGGACCACCUGGUCUUCAGACCAGGAUCUGAGGAGAAAACUGUCUCUGAUGUUUCUUUCUCUGAAUGGAGAUAAAUAAAUGUUGACUUUAGUUUUUCAUUUAGUCACCUUCAGAGAAACAUUGCUGAUAAACUGAUGGAGAUGAUCUCAGAGUGUAACGUUUGAAACAUGUUUCAUGAUCAUCUGUGACCUGGUAGAUCAGGUGUUGGUUAGUAUGAACUGCAUGGGCUUCAUCUAAAACCAACUGUGUCAUGGUUUAAACCCAGUAAACUGGAGAAAAGACAGACAGGGAAUGAAACACAGAAUAGAAUAAAAAAGAUUUCAUUUUGACAGAGCUCCAAUGACAACUUUCCUGCAUUGAAAAUACAACAAAUGUUUUAAGACAUAAAACAUUUUUUUUUCCUUUUUUAUUUCCUUGUUUUCCUUCAAAUGGUUUUAAGAAGCAACAUUCAGCUUUCUGACCCAGUAACUCAUUUUAUUAAGAAUUAAUUAAGAAACCAAACACAUUUAACACGACUAAAACAAGAUGAAUUGCUAAAGGAAAGAACUCAGUGUGUCGUGUGAAUUAUUCAUGAUGUGAUUUUUGAUCAGUUAUUUAGAUUGAAAAUAAAAGCAAAUAAAAGCAGAAGGUUGCAGUAAACAGAUAAAA